rnacentral:misc_RNA from 1 species
GUGAAUCAUCAAAUUUUUGAACGCAAAUUGCACUCUCCGGGGAGAGUAUGCGUGUUUGAGGGUGAGCCUAUGAAAAAUCGACAUCGGUGCUGUUUCGCGGGGGCGUGCGUCGGUAAAUGGGUCAUCUUAAAACUUUUGGUUUUAAGCGACUUAAACUUUUCCUUUUGGUUCCAUGAACGUUUCUAAGAUUUAUUUCUUUACACGUUUAAGG